rnacentral:rRNA from 1 species
UACAGAGGGUGCAAGCGUUAAUCGGAGUUACUGGGCGUAAAGGGCGCGUAGGCUGAUAUUUAAGUCGGAUGUGAAAUCCCUGGGCUUAACCUAGGAAUUGCAUUCGAUACUGAAUAACUUGAGUAUGAUAGAGGAAAGCGGAAUUCUCGGUGUAGUGGUAAAAUACGUAGAUAUCGAGAAGAACACCGGUGGCGAAGGCGGCUUUCUGGAUCAAUACUGACGCUGAGGCGCGAAAGCGUGGGGAG